UACGGGGGGGGCAAGCGUUGUUCGGAAUUACAGGGCGUAAAGGGCGUGUAGGCGGCCAACUAAGUCCGACGUGAAAUCCCCAGGCUUAACCUGGGAACUGCGUCGGAUACUGGAUGGCUUGAAUCCGGGAGAGGGAUGCAGAAUUCCAGGUGUAGCGGUGAAAUGCGUAGAUAUCUGGAGGAAUACCGGUGGCGAAGGCGGCAUCCUGGACCGGCAUUGACGCUGAAGCGCGAAAGCUAGGGGAGCAAACGGG
rnacentral:rRNA from 1 species